rnacentral:rRNA from 1 species
CAUCACCUCUAGCAUCCCAAGUAUUAGAGGCACUGCCUGCCCAGUGACUAACGUUAAACGGCCGCGGUAUCCUGACCGUGCAAAGGUAGCAUAAUCAUUUGUUCCUUAAUUAGGGACUGGAAUGAACGGCUUGACGAGGGUUUAACUGUCUCCUAUUUCCAAUCAGUGAAAUUGACCUCCCCGUGAAGAGGCGGGGAUUACAAAAUAAGACGAGAAGACCCUAUGGAGCUUUAGUUUACUAGUUUAAUCCUAAUAACAAACAACCUACUGGUCUAAUACACAAAAAUAUAAACUAGUAAUUUUGGUUGGGGUGACCUCGGAGCAUAAAAAAACCUCCGAAUGAUUUUAACCAAGACACACAAGUCUAAGUAACCAAAUAUCUUAUUGACCCAAACUUCUUUUUGAUCAACGGACCAAGUUACCCUAGGGAUAACAGCGCAAUCCUAUUCAAGAGUCCAUAUCGACAAUUAGGGUUUACGACCUCGAUGUUGGAUCAGGACAUCCCAAUGGUGCAGAAGCUAUUAAUGGUUCGUUUGUUCAACGAUUAAAGUCCUACGUGAUCA